rnacentral:rRNA from 1 species
UGUGACCUCAAAUCAGGUAGGACUACCCGCUGAACUUAAGCAUAUCAAUAAGCGGAGGAAAAGAAACUAACAAGGAUUCCCCUAGUAACUGCGAGUGAAGCGGGAAAAGCUCAAAUUUAAAAUCUGGCGGUCUUCGGCCGUCCGAGUUGUAAUCUAGAGAAGUGUUAUCCGCGCUGGACCGUG